rnacentral:tRNA from 1 species
UCCUGGUAGCUCAGUUGGUAAAGAAUCUGCCUGCAAUGCAGGAGACCCAGGUUUGAUCCCUGGGGCGGGAA